GCUGGAUUUGAGCUUUGCGUGCUUUUCUAACAUCAGUUUCAUUAGCAUUUUUUGUCACAGAAGGUGCAUAUUGUCUAAAUCUCCUUUUAGGAGCACCACAAACAGGGCAGAAGUACUUGUCAGGCAGUUUCUCGAAGGGAGUCCUUUCAUUGUAAAUAUACCCGCAAUCGCGACAAAUAUAGGCUUGCUUGGAGGCAACACGC
rnacentral:misc_RNA from 1 species